rnacentral:rRNA from 1 species
AAGCCUACUCUAGCUCCACCCACACAAUAAUCAAAAACCCACUACACCAGAUAACUAAAACAUUAUUCCAAACUUAGUAUAGGUGAUAGAAAAGUACCACCCGGACGCUAUAGAAAAAGUACCGUAAGGGAAAGAUGAAAUAAUAAUGAAAACCAAGCUCCCUACAGCAAAGAUAAACCCUUGUACCUUUUGCAUCAUGAUUUAGCAAGAACACCCAGACAAAGGGACCUUAAGCCUGCCACCCCGAAACCCAAGCGAGCUACCUACGAGCAGCUACCCCGAGCUAACCCGUCUCUGUUGCAAAAGAGUGGGAUGACUUGUAAGUAGAGGUGAAAAGCCAACCGAGCUGGGUGAUAGCUGGUUGCCUGCAAAGUGAAUCUAAGUUCCUCUAGUCUUACUCCACCCAGACAAACCCACUAACUCCUAUGUAUUGGACUAUAAGCUAAUUAAAGGGGGUACAGCCCCUUUAACUAAGGACAACAACCUCCACCAGCGGAUAAACUAAACUCACCUUACACCUGUGGGCCUUAAAGCAGCCACCCCAAAAGAAUGCGUCAAAGCUCUAAACCAAAAAAUUUGAAAACAACGCGACUCCCUAUACCCUAGCAAGCUAACCUAUACCUAUAGAUGAAUUAAUGCUAAAACGAGUAACCAGGAUACCAUAUCCCCCUAAGCGCCAGCCUAACCCCCAUUAACAGCAAAACCACAAUACAAACCCCCCCCCCCCCCCCCGACCAAAUAUUGAACGCACCCUGUUGACCCAACCCUGGAACGCACAUCUAGGAAGAUUCAAAUCUGCAAAAGGAACUCGGCAAGCCCAAGGCCCGACUGUUUAUCAAAAACAUAGCCUUCAGCCAAACAAGUAUUGAAGGUGAUGCCUGCCCAGUGACAUUACGUUCAACGGCCGCGGUAUCCUAACCGUGCAAAGGUAGCGCAAUCAAUUGUCUCAUAAAUCGAGACCUGUAUGAACGGCUAAACGAGGCCUUAACUGUCUCCUGCAGACAAUCAGUGAAACUGAUCUCCCUGUACAAAAGCAGGGAUAAAUACAUAAGACGAGAAGACCCUGUGGAACUUUAAAAUCAAUAGCCACCCCAACACCCAAUCAAACCUACCUGGCCCACCACCAAAAGUUAUGGCUAAUAUUUUUAGGUUGGGGCGACCCUGGAGAAAAACAAACCCUCCAGACACCAAGGCCAUAACCCUUAACCAAGAGCCACCCCUCAACGUGCUAAAAGCGCACAGACCCAAUAAAAUUGAUCAAUGGACCAAGCUACCCCAGGGAUAACAGCGCAAUUCCAUCCAAGAGCCCCUAUCGACGGAGGAGUUUACGACCUCGAUGUUGGAUCAGGACAUCCUAGUGGUGCAGCCGCUACUAAGGGUUCGUUUGUUCAACGAUUAACAGUCCUACGUGAUCUGAGUUCAGACCGGAGUAAUCCAGGUCGGUUUCUAUCUAUGAUCAACCUUCCCUAGUACGAAAGGACCGGAAAGGUAGGGCCAAUACCUUCAAGCACGCCCUCGCCACAAGUGAUGCCCACAACUAAAUCACCUACGGACCACACACCUCCCCCAAAACAAGGGUUG